GGAGAGGUGGCAGAGUGGUUUAAUGCGCUCGCUUGGAAAGCGUGUAAGGGCUAACACCCUUCGAGGGUUCGAAUCCCUCCCUCUCCGCCA
rnacentral:tRNA from 1 species